UGGUAAUGCCGGAUGCUCCAGUUGAUCGCAUGGUCUUCUGGGAAAGCUUUCGCGGUAUGGGAUGGGGUCGCGUCCUAUCAGCUUGACGGCGGGGUAACGGCCCACCGUGGCUUCGACGGGUAGCCGGCCUGAGAGGGCGACCGGCCACAUUGGGACUGAGAUACGGCCCAGACUCCUACGGGAGGCAGCAGUGGGGAAUAUUGCACAAUGGGCGCAAGCCUGAUGCAGCGACGCCGCGUGAGGGAUGGAGGCCUUCGGGUUGUAAACCUCUUUUAUCGGGGAGCAAGCGAGAGUGAGUUUACCCGUUGAAUAAGCACCGGCUAACUACGUGCCAGCAGCCGCGGUAAUACGUAGGGUGCAAGCGUUAUCCGGAAUUAUUGGGCGUAAAGGGCUCGUAGGCGGUUCGUCGCGUCCGGUGUGAAAGUCCAUCGCUUAACGGUGGAUCCGCGCCGGGUACGGGCGGGCUUGAGUGCGGUAGGGGAGACUGGAAUUCCCGGUGUAACGGUGGAAUGUGUA
rnacentral:rRNA from 1 species